AAGGAACAUCUCAUUGAACAUAUAAAAACGUCUUAUCAUUCGGUUCAUGACCCUAAAUGUGGUGUUUGUAACAAGCAUUGCAAAUCGUUUGAAUCACUAAGGGAGCACGUUGCUGGUCCAUUGUCCAAAGUGAAUUGUUCAAGCAUCUUUGCAGAAAGAGGCUGCAUUUUGUGUCUGAAAAUCUGCAGCAGCGUGGACUCUCUCAAUGAGCAUAAGGAAAUAUGUCAUCUAACCACUCCUCGACCCAUUGAUACAAUUGAGAUGCUUUAUUCCGAAG
rnacentral:misc_RNA from 1 species